CCUACGGAGGCUGCAGUGGGGAAUAUUGGACAAUGGGCGAAAGCCUGAUCCAGCCAUGCCGCGUGUGUGAAGAAGGCCUUCGGGUUGUAAAGCACUUUCAGUGGGGAAGAAAGCCUUGGGGCUAAUACCCUCGAGGAAGGACAUCACCCACAGAAGAAGCACCGGCAAACUCCGUGCCAGCAGCCGCGGUAAUACGGAGGGUGCGAGCGUUAAUCGGAAUUACUGGGCGUAAAGCGCGCGUAGGCGGUCUGAUAAGCCGGUUGUGAAAGCCCCGGGCUCAACCUGGGAACGGCAUCCGGAACUGUCAGGCUAGAGUGCAGGAGAGGAAGGUAGAAUUCCCGGUGUAGCGGUGAAAUGCGUAGAGAUCGGGAGGAAUACCAGUGGCGAAGGCGGCCUUCUGGACUGACACUGACGCUGAGGUGCGAAAGCGUGGGUAGCAAACAGGAUUAGAUACCCUAGUAGUC
rnacentral:rRNA from 1 species